ACAACUAUUCGAAUGGAAGUUCUUCUGUGUGUACAUAGUUAUCGAAUUAAAUAUUGAACAAAUAAUAGGUAUUUGUAAAUAUAAUAAUCUUGAAGCCUGCCUUAUUAUUAGAUAUCUGUUUUAAUAGUAGUUUAGGGUAGAGGUAGAUAAGGAUCCCAAAAGUACCUAAGUUCUGAUACAAUCAGAGGUAUGGUGAAUUGGUGAUAAAUUAUGAACUUACGCCAAAGGUGACGUAAAUAAGUUUCACAUUAUCUUGAAAACCAAACCGUGCCGACCCAAUCAAACAUUUUUUGACGAGAUAUUUUUUUCAACAAGAUUUGGAAGACAUUCAAUGCUUGGUUGGACUUAUGAAGCGCAAAAGACUCUUAACCUCUUAGCGUAAGGGUGCCCAGUGAUUGAGAAAUUGGUCGGUGUGCUGCGGAACGGAAGGCGAUUGGGGCAACCACCGUUCUACACGCCCUAUCUAUGGAGUAAUGGCGUUUACUCCACCGACAAGAGCGCAGCUCUUAAAUAGAGAGAGAGAGAGAGAGAAUUAUUUUUUGAAAAGCAACUGAUUCGAUUUGGUCUCUUAUUAUGUACUAAGUAUUAUAUAAGUAAUUCAAUUAAGUAACUUUGUUUUUCAAGUACUCUGCAAAUACUACGCUACAUUAAGAUUUUCGAGACAAGCAUCAACACUUUUCAUCACUUACUCAAUUCGUUCAAUACACUUGAUUAUCUUAAUAAGUAAUAAAACUUCAAC